GGGGUGGAGGUGGGGAUGGGGGACACACACACCCCAAGAAACGCAGCGAAGGGGAAAACUCCUCCAUUUGUGUCUUUUCUUCAUUUGCUCACUGUGUCUUUCCAAUCGUAGGAGGCUUACGUGCAGAAAAUGGUCAAAGUGUGCAACGAUUCAGACCGGUGGAGCCUCAUCUCCCUGUCCAACAACAGCGGCAAAAACGUGGAGCUGAAAUUCGUGGACUCUCUGAGGCGGCAGUUUGAAUUCAGCGUCGAUUCCUUUCAAAUCAAGCUGGACUCCCUGCUGCUUUUUUACGAGUGCUCAGAGAACCCCAUGACCGAAACUUUUCACCCCACCAUCAUCGGCGAGAGCGUCUACGGGGAUUUCCAGGAGGCCUUUGACCACCUCUGCAACAAGGUAAUCGCCACCCGCAACCCCGAAGAGAUCAGAGGAGGGGGUCUCCUGAAGUACUGCAACCUUUUGGUAAGGGGUUUUAGGGCUGCCUCCGAAUCUGAGAUUAAAUCCCUGCAGAGGUACAUGUGCUCCAGGUUUUUCAUUGACUUCUCAGACAUCGGGGAACAGCAGAGGAAGCUGGAGUCCUACUUGCAGAACCACUUUGUGGGCUUGGAGGACCGCAAGUACGACUAUCUCAUGACCCUUCACGGCGUGGUGAACGAGAGCACGGUGUGCCUGAUGGGGCACGAGAGGAGGCAGACUCUCAAUCUGAUCACCAUGCUGGCCAUCCGCGUCCUGGCCGAGCAGAACAUCAUCCCCAACGUGGCCAAUGUCACCUGCUAUUACCAGCCGGCCCCUUACGUGGCGGACGCCAACUUCAGCAAUUACUAUAUCGCCCAGGUUCAGACGGUGUUCCCUUGCCAGCAGCACACCUACUCGACUUGGCUGCCGUGUAAUUAAGGACGCCAAUUAGCAGACCUGGUGGGGAGAACGUUUUCUGAGACGUAGGAAGGGGCGAGGUGCCCCCCUUGGAAAAGGUGUGUGUGUAUAGGGGGGGGGGGAGGUCGUUUUGUGCAAUGAUGAUCUGCUCUGGUUUGGUUUUUUUUUUCAAGCUUGGUUAAAAAAAGCUUGAUGAUUCUUCUUAAUAAUUAACGGGAGCACGAUCGAGAAAGAAACCCCCUCCCUGAUAAUUGGAUCCUACCCCAGAGCACAAGAGGCCUGUCAUUAAAAGCAACCAGCUUCCCCUGAAGUAAGUGAGGGAGGAAUGCUUGAUGACAAUAUGGGUUGGCGAUACCUGCUCCCAUAGCUUUGGCAUAGAGAAGGUGGGAAAGCCUUAUUUCCUUUUAUUUUUAUUCUUAACUCUAGAAUGGGAUCUGCAAAAAAAAAGGGAGAAUGCGAAAGAAGAAGCAAAACAAAACACAUAAAAAAAAAACAACAAAAAGAAGAAAAAAAAUCACAAAAAAUUCUUUACGUAUAUAUUCAGGAAUUAAGAGUUAGAGGCAUAAAGCAGAGAUAAGCUGAAUAAAAAUGAUGUAUAUUGGGAAUUAACUGCAUUUUGGGGCUUGCAGCAAGUGCCGUCUAUGGGGUGACCGUGUAGAAUGUAUAGCUUGCUUGACUAGGACGCUUUUCCCAAAAACAGCUUGCUCCCAACGAGCAGUAGUGGAUCGGUGCAGUUAGAAAAGCAGAAACACCUACGGUGACUGAAAUCCGUUUAUUUCCCAGCUGUGUGCACGCCUCACAUUUUAAAAAUGUGGGAGGGAGCGCAGGAGAACCAGCUGUGGCAAACAGAAUAUUCUCAAGGACCAAAGAUUUCCACAAAUAAGUUAUCCGAGCAAAGAAGAUACAGUAGAGUAUAUAUAUAUAUAUAUAUAUAAAAAAGAAAAGAAAGAUGUUGCUAUAUUUGUACACACCAACAGUAAUCAAAAGUGCCUGAUGCCUUCAUAAAAUUUGAAGUGAGAAAAAAAAAAAGAUAUAUAGUUUUGUGGUUUAACCAUGCAUUUUGUUUUAUCAGGGACACAAGGAUUAAAAAAAACAAACAACCAAACCAUAAGCUUGUGAAUAAGUGGUGGAGGAAAUGCCCUAUUUUUUUUUUUUUUUUUCUUGGCAAAUACUUGUAUAGAGUUAAUGUUAUGUCGGUGUGCUAUUAUCCUAGGUACGUGUGUGUAUGUGUGUAUAUAUAUGUUUGUGUGUGUAUAUAUGUACGUGUUAUAGGUGUAUAUCUAUAUAUAUACACACACAAUAUAUAUUAAUGUGGUCUAGGAAAAUGUAGCAAUUAAGGAAUGUUUAAAUAAAGUACUACGUGUUUUCCAGUUUGCAACAGGAUGUCAUAGGACAGUGGGCACCUUGCAGUGAAUUUUUUAACCCACACCUGAGAAAUUUGGAGUUAACAACCCAGUCAGGAUUAAGGUGGGAUUCAGAUAAUGUCUUUGGUUGCAAGAACAAGGAUUACAGUAAUUCAGUGGGUUGCUUGUGAGCCAUAAUAAUUCCACAGAUGGAGAAACAUAUGACUAGCUGAUUAUUAUUUUUUUUUUUUUAAACUAUUUUGUACUGUAAUGCCAUUUUGACAUUUAACCCACUAAUGUUGUGACUGCAUACCUCCAUGAUGUGUAAUUCAGUGGAACGUGGAUCAAAGAUAGGUUUAUUUAAACCCCCUGACAGCUAAAGAAUAUUGUAUUAGUUGGUGAUUUGAACACUAAUUGUUACUAUUUAAAGGAGUAUUUUUAAUCGAAUGCGUUACGCAUUCCAGGACCACUAGAAUUUAGCAAAUGUGAAAUGAACCCUUUUUAAGAGUGUUGCACGAUUGCUUAAAAUUAUAUUUUAUAUAUAUAUAUUAUAUAUAUAUAUUUUUAUGCAAAUAUUAAACAUCUUUGAUCUGGUUGUCACACUGCAUUUACAAUUUCAGUACUGUACUUUAUUUAAAUGGAAUCACUUUACAUUGGAACAAUAACUAUUCACUUUCGUUUCCUCUCCCAAAAGACCAGCAGGGGGGGGGGACAGACAAAAAAAAAAA